UCCGUAGGUGAACCUGCGGAAGGAUCAUUACAGAGUUCAUGCCCUUACGGGUAGAUCUCCCACCCAUGAAUACGCGAGGUCAAUCAUCGAGUUACUUCGGCGGAUCUUUUCGCCGCCGAGCAACAACCACAAACUCUAAUUCGACGUGUCGUCUGAGUAAAAACACAAACGAAUCAAAACUUUCAACAACGGAUCUCUUGGUUCUGGCAUCGAUGAAGAACGCAGCGAAAUGCGAUAAGUAAUGUGAAUUGCAGAAUUCAGUGAAUCAUCGAAUCUUUGAACGCACAUUGCGCCCUUUGGUAUUCCACAGGGCACACCCGUUCGAGCGUCAUUACAACACUCAGGCCACGCCUGGUAUUGGGUGCCGCCCCGUCAAACGGGCGCUCCUCAAACCCCUCGGCGUCGCCGUCCGUCCUCAAACGCAGCGAGAAACACCUUUCGGCGUUGUAGAGGCGGGCCGUGACCGCCGGAACCACACAAAUUCAAACGUUUGACCUCGGAUCGGGUGGGGAUACCCGCUGAACUUAAGCAUAUCAAUAAGCGGAGGAAGUCGACU
rnacentral:rRNA from 1 species